rnacentral:rRNA from 1 species
GACUCCAUGAAGCUGGAUUCGCUAGUAAUCGCGCAUCAGCCACGGCGCGGUGAAUACGUUCCCGGGCCUUGUACACACCGCCCGUCAAGCCAUGGAAGCCGGGGGUGCCUGAAGUGCGCUGCCGCGAGGAGCGCCCUAGGGUAAAACCGGUGACUGGGGCUAAGUCGUAACAAGGUAGC